UACGGGGGGGGGCAAGCGUUGUUCGGAAUUACUGGGCGUAAAGGGCUCGUAGGCGGCCAACUAAGUCGGACGUGAAAUCCCUCGGCUUAACCGGGGAACUGCGUCCGAUACUGGAUGGCUUGAGUAUGGGAGAGGGAUGCGGAAUUCCAGGUGUAGCGGUGAAAUGCGUAGAUAUCUGGAGGAACACCGGUGGCGAAGGCGGCAUCCUGGACCAUUACUGACGCUGAGGAGCGAAAGCCAGGGAGCAAAGCGGG
rnacentral:rRNA from 1 species